rnacentral:rRNA from 2 species
ACGGGAGGCAGCAGUAGGGAAUCUUCCACAAUGGGCGAAAGCCUGAUGGAGCAAUGCCGCGUGAGUGAAGAAGGUUUUCGGAUCGUAAAACUCUGUUGUUGAAGAAGAACAUGCGUGAGAGUAACUGUUCACGUACUGACGGUAUUCAACCAGAAAGCCACGGCUAACUACGUGCCAGCAGCCGCGGUAAUACGUAGGUGGCAAGCGUUGUCCGGAUUUAUUGGGCGUAAAGAGAAUGUAGGCGGUUUAUUAAGUUUGAAGUGAAAGCCCUCGGCUCAACCGAGGAAGUGCUUCGAAAACUGGUAAACUUGAGUGCAGAAGAGGAAAGUGGAACUCCAUGUGUAGCGGUGGAAUGCGUAGAUAUAUGGAAGAACACCAGUGGCGAAGGCGGCUUUCUGGUCUGUAACUGACGCUGAGAUUCGAAAGCAUGGGUAGCAAACAGGAUUAGAUACCCUGGUAGUCCAUGCCGUAAACGAUGAGUGCUAAGUGUUGGAGGGUUUCCGCCCUUCAGUGCUGCAGCUAACGCAUUAAGCACUCCGCCUGGGGAGUACGACCGCAAGGUUGAAACUCAAAGGAAUUGACGGGGGCCCGCACAAGCGGUGGAGCAUGUGGUUUAAUUCGAAGCAACGCGAAGAACCUUACCAGGUCUUGACAUACCAUGAAAAGCUAAGAGAUUAGUCUUUCCCUUCGGGGACAUGGAUACAGGUGGUGCAUGGUUGUCGUCAGCUCGUGUCGUGAGAUGUUGGGUUAAGUCCCGCAACGAGCGCAACCCUUAUUAUCAGUUGCCAGCAUUCAGUUGGGCACUCUGGUGAGACUGCCGGUGACAAACCGGAGGAAGGUGGGGACGACGUCAAAUCAUCAUGCCCCUUAUGACCUGGGCUACACACGUGCUACAAUGGUCGGUACAACGUGUUGCGAACUCGCGAGGGCAAGCAAAUCACUUAAAACCGAUCUCAGUUCGGAUUGCAGGCUGCAACUCGCCUGCAUGAAGCUGGAAUCGCUAGUAAUCGCGGAUCAGCAUGCCGCGGUGAAUACGUUCCCGGGCCUUGUACACACCGCCCGUCACACCAUGAGAGUUUGUAACACCCAAAGUCGGUGGGGUAACCCUUCGGGGAACUAGCC